UCUUCUUCUCACCAAACAAACUGCUACCACUUCCUUCCGAAUCACCAAACUUUAUCUCAAAGUAACCACCGGAUAUUGGCGGGCCCGUGGCAGAGAUGGGAAUCGGUGACAAUGUGUUGCCAGUCUCGCCACCACUACCGGCAACCACCCCAUCUGGGCCAUAUUUCCUUGGCCUAGCCGUACAUUGUUUGUAUGCGGUUGAAUUCUCAUAGGUCGUGAAUAUCGUAUCCUUUCUUUUUGAUGAUGAACCUAUGAUAAAUCUUGAUCAGUUGUUGUAUUUUGCUCAACAAUCGGCUCUAUUGAC
rnacentral:lncRNA from 1 species